AUUGAACGCUGGCGGCAGGCCUAACACAUGCAAGUCGAGCGGUUGAGGUAGUUUGCUACCGAAGCAGCGGCGGACGGGUGAGUAAUACAUGGGAAUCUGCCUGGUAGUGGGGGACAACGUUUCGAAAGGAACGCUAAUACCGCAUACGCCCUACGGGGGAAAGGGGGGGAUCUUCGGACCUCUCGCUAUCAGAUGAGCCCAUGUCGGAUUAGCUAGUUGGUGGGGUAAAGGCCUACCAAGGCGACGAUCCGUAACUGGUCUGAGAGGAUGAUCAGGACGACUGGAACUGGGACACGGUCCAGACUCCUACGGGAGGCAGCAGUGGGGAAUAUUGGACAAUGGGCGCAAGCCUGAUCCAGCCAUGCCGCGUGUGUGAAGAAGGCCUUAGGGUUGUAAAGCACUUUCAGUGGGGAGAAAGGUGAUUCACCUAAUACGUGAGUCAAUUGAUGUUACCCACAGAAGAAGCACCGGCUAACUCCGUGCCAGCAGCCGCGGUAA
rnacentral:rRNA from 1 species